UACGGGGGGGGCAAGCGUUGUUCGGAAUUACUGGGCGUAAAGCGCACGUAGGCGGGUCGUUAAGUCAGGGGUGAAAUCCCGGAGCUCAACUCCGGAACUGCCUUUGAUACUGGCGAUCUAGAGAUCGAGAGAGGUGAGUGGAAUUCCGAGUGUAGAGGUGAAAUUCGUAGAUAUUCGGAAGAACACCAGUGGCGAAGGCGUCUCACUGGCUCGAUACUGACGCUGAGGUGCGAAAGCGUGGGGAGCAAACAGG
rnacentral:rRNA from 1 species